GGGGGGGGGCAGUUCUUCGACCCCGCGCAGGUGCUGUACACCUACGAGUCGCCGGCCGGCUACGGUUUGAUCGGGCUGCAGUUCCUCGCCUACCUCUGGUUCUGCUACGCCGUCCUGGUCACCCUCAAGCAGGUCCCCGAAAAACAGCCCUUCUACCUGCCCUUCUUCGCCGCUUACACCCUCUGGUUCUUCGCGGUGCCGGUGACGGCGCUGAUCGCCAACUUUGGGAUCCCCAAGUGGGCGCGGGAGAAGAUCGUCAACGGGAUCCAGCUGGGGAUCCACCUCUACGCCCACGCCGUCUUCCUGGUGAUGACACGACCCUCGGCCGCCAACAAGAACUUCCCCUACCACGUGCGGACCUCCCAGAUCGGCUCCGCGGAGGGGGGGGCGGCCGCCAAGUUCCCCCCCCGGCACGGUUACGGCAACGUCACCUUCAUCAGCGACUCCGUCCCCAAUUUCACCGAGCUCUUCUCCAUUCCCCCCCCCGGCCCCAACGGAUCGCCCAGCGCACGGAAGCAGGUGGAGGAGACGCCGGCGGCGGAGUGGGGACCCCCCCCGGGGCGCGUGGUGACCACGACGGAUCUGGGGGCCCCCCGCCCCCCCCAAAAGGGCACAGGGGCAGGGGGCGAGGGCCAGGGCCCCCCGUCCCAGCUCCAGGCCCCCCCACCCCACGCCCACAACGGCUACACCGAGUACUUCAGCAUGCACACGGGUGGGGGGCGGCACUUGUAGCCCCCCCACCACUGAGGGGGGGGCCGUCCUGCCCCAUGGCCACCCCCAAUCCUGCCCCCACAGGGACCCCAAUUUAUGCCCCAGUGGGAUCCCAAAUCCUGCCCCCCAGGGCCCCCAAGUAUUGCCCUCCAGGGACCCAAAUCCUGCCCCACAGGGACCCCAAAUCCUGCCCCAGGGGGACCCCAAGCAUUGCCCUCCAGGGACCCCAAAUAUUGUCCUCCAGGGUCCCAAAUCCUGCCCCACAGGGUCCCCAAGUAUUGCCCUCCAGGGACCCCAAAUCCUGCCCCCACAGGGACCCCAAGUAUUGCCCCACAGGGACCCCAAAUCCUGCCCCCCAGGGACCCCAAGUAUUGCCCUCCAGGGGCCCAAAUCCUGCCCCCCAGGGACCCCAAAUAUUG
rnacentral:lncRNA from 1 species